rnacentral:rRNA from 1 species
CAGCAGCCGCGGGAAUACGUAGGGUGCGAGCGUUAAUCGGAAUUACUGGGCGUAAAGCGUGCGCAGGCGGUUCGUUAAGACAGAUGUGAAAUCCCCGGGCUUAACCUGGGAACUGCAUUUGUGACUGACGGGCUAGAGUAUGGCAGAGGGGGGUAGAAUUCCACGUGUAGCAGUGAAAUGCGUAGAGAUGUGGAGGAAUACCGAUGGCGAAGGCAGCCCCCUGGGCCAAUACUGACGCUCAUGCACGAAAGCGUGGGGAGCAAACAGGAUUAGAUACCCGGGUAGUCCCUGUCUCUUAUAC